rnacentral:rRNA from 1 species
AGAGUUUGAUCAUGGCUCAGGAUGAACGCUGGCGGCGUGCCUAACACAUGCAAGUCGAACGAAGCACAUUUACCGGAUUCUUCGGAAGAAAGUGAUUGUGACUGAGUGGCGGACGGGUGAGUAACGCGUGGGGAACCUGCCUCAUACAGGGGGAUAACAGUUAGAAAUGACUGCUAAUACCGCAUAAGACCACAGCACCGCAUGGUGGAGUGGUAAAAACUCCGGUGGUAUGAGAUGGCCCCGCGUCUGAUUAGCUGGUUGGUGAGGUAAGGGCUCACCAAGGCGACGAUCAGUAGCCGACCUGAGAGGGUGACCGGCCACAUUGGGACUGAGACACGGCCCAAACUCCUACGGGAGGCAGCAGUGGGGAAUAUUGCACAAUGGGGGAAACCCUGAUGCAGCGACGCCGCGUGAAGGAAGAAGUAUUUCGGUAUGUAAACUUCUAUCAGCAGGGAAGAAAAUGACGGUACCUGACUAAGAAGCCCCGGCUAACUACGUGCCAGCAGCCGCGGUAAUACGUAGGGGGCAAGCGUUAUCCGGAUUUACUGGGUGUAAAGGGAGCGUAGACGGUAUGGCAAGUCUGAUGUGAAAACCCGAGGCUCAACCGCGGGAUUGCAUUGGAAACUGCCAGACUAGAGUGUCGGAGAGGCAAGUGGAAUUCCUAGUGUAGCGGUGAAAUGCGUAGAUAUUAGGAGGAACACCAGUGGCGAAGGCGGCUUGCUGGACGAUGACUGACGUUGAGGCUCGAAAGCGUGGGGAGCAAACAGGAUUAGAUACCCUGGUAGUCCACGCCGUAAACG